GAUAAACGCUGGCGGCGUGCCUAAUACAUGCAAGUCGAACGAAGAGAGCUAGCUUGCUAGAGCUCUUAGUGGCGAACGGGUGAGUAAUACAUAAGCAACCUACCUGCAGGGACCGGGAUAACGCUUGGAAACGAGUGCUAAAACCGGAUAGGUAAUAACGGGGCAUCCCGAUAUUAUUAAAGGAGAGAAACACAAGCAGAUGGGCUUAUGGUGCAUUAGUUAGUUGGUGAGGUAACGGCCCACCAAGACGAUGAUGCAUAGCCGGCCUGAGAGGGUGAACGGCCACAUUGGGACUGAGACACGGCCCAG
rnacentral:rRNA from 1 species